rnacentral:lncRNA from 1 species
CUCUACACAUACAGGUCAUGGGCACAACAAUUGCCUAAACUCAGGAAUUUGGUCAUGUAAACAGGAAAAUUAGGAAUCUCAGUCCCUUUUCGAAUCGACCCUACUACUCUAUAUUACUGUUUAAUUCAAUUAAAGCAUAGGAAAUUAUAUUUGGUGGUUUCGACGCUCGUCAAUCACCUAUAUACUAUCAAAACUAUUAGAAUUAACCUGAUCUUGAUAGAGGUUAUUGGUAAUCGUAACCUCAAGGGGUCUUGAACCUCAGUGCAGAAUAAUACCCCCACAUCACAAUAGUACAUUAAGCUACAAGAACAACUUAAGCUCUUGUUAGAAAAAUACAACCAAUAGUAAAAAACCAUACAAUAGAACGUAAGAAUCAUUCAUCAAUUAAAGGCAGAACAAUUCAAUCCAAAAAUAGUGGAGUAGCAUCGGAACAUGAGGAUGCAACUGGGCAUAGGGAUCACCCAGUAGAAUUGGGAGAACGGAAAUAGGAUAUGGCCUAGAAAGGGCAGAUGUGGCAACAACAGGCUCCCUUCUCAAAUGAUAAAUAGAGACAUUAAGGAGAAAAAUGGACCUUUUGAUGGUAUGUGAAACUAGGAAAGGCUUCAUUAGUUCAAUACACACGUAGCACAAAGAAAAAGAACUGUUAAGAAGGAUCGCAAAGAAAGAGUUUAAGGAAUUUGGAUAGAUAACAAUAAUCACAGAAGUGGAAGAGGCUUAUAGAGAGGGUUUUUUGUCUAAUUCUUCAUUUUUAGUUUGUAUUUGUUAUA